UACGUAGGGUGCAAGCGUUAAUCGGAAUACUGGGCGUAAAGCGUGCGCAGGCGGUUAUGCAAGACAGAUGUGAAAUCCCCGGGCUCAACCUGGGAACUGCAUUUGUGACUGCAUGGCUAGAGUACGGCAGAGGGGGGGAUGGAAUUCCGCGUGUAGCAGUGAAAUGCGUAGAUAUGCGGAGGAACACCGAUGGCGAAGGCAAUCCCCUGGGCCUGUACUGACGCUCAGUGCACGAAAGCGUGGGGAGCGAAACAAGG
rnacentral:rRNA from 1 species